GAUGAACGCUGGCGGCGUGCCUAAUACAUGCAAGUCGAGCGAACGGACGAGAAGCUUGCUUCUCUGAUGUUAGCGGCGGACGGGUGAGUAACACGUGGAUAACCUACCUAUAAGACUGGGAUAACUUCGGGAAACCGGAGCUAAUACCGGAUAAUAUUUUGAACCGCAUGGUUCAAAAGUAAAAGACGGUCUUGCUGUCACUUAUAGAUGGAUCCGCGCUGCAUUAGCUAGUUGGUAAGGUAACGGCUUACCAAGGCAACGAUGCAUAGCCGACCUGAGAGGGUGAUCGGCCACCCUGGAACUGAGACACGGUCCAGACUCCUACGGGAGGCAGCAGUAGGGAAUCUUCCGCAAUGGGCGAAAGCCUGACGGAGCAACGCCGCGUGAGUGAUGAAGGUCUUCGGAUCGUAAAACUCUGUUAUUAGGGAAGAACAUAUGUGUAAGUAACUGUGCACAUCUUGACGGUACCUAAUCAGAAAGCCACGGCUAACUACGUG
rnacentral:rRNA from 1 species